GACGAACGCUGGCGGCGUGCUUAACACAUGCAAGUCGAACGGAAAGGCCCUGCUUUUGUGGGGUGCUCGAGUGGCGAACGGGUGAGUAACACGUGAGUAACCUGCCCUUGACUUUGGGAUAACUUCAGGAAACUGGGGCUAAUACCGGAUAGGAGCUCCUGCUGCAUGGUGGGGGUUGGAACGUUUCGGCGGAUGGGGAUGGACUCGCGGCUUAUCAGCUUGUUGGUGGGGUAGUGGCUUACCAAGGCUUUGACGGGUAGCCGGCCUGAGAGGGCGACCGGCCACAGUGGGACUGGGAUACGGCCCAGACUCCUACGGGAGGCAGCGGUGGGGAAUAUUGCACAAUGGGCGGAAGCCUGAUGCAGCAACGCCGCGUGCGGGAUGACGGCCUUCGGGUUGUAAACCGCUUUCGCCUGUGACGAAGCGUGAGGGACUGUAAUGGGGAAAGAAGCACCGGCUAACUACGU
rnacentral:rRNA from 1 species